UAAAAACCCCGACUUCGGAAGGGGUGUAUUUAUUAGAUACAAAACCAAUGCCCUUCGGGGCUCUUUGGUGAUUCAUGAUAACUAUACGAAUCGCACGGCCUUGCGCCGGCGAUGGUUCAUUCAAAUUUCUUCCCUAUCAACUUUCGAUGUUUGGGUAUUGGCCAAACAUGGUUGCAACGGGUAACGGAGGGUUAGGGCUCGACCCCGGAGAAGGAGCCUGAGAAACGGCUACUACAUCCAAGGAAGGCAGCAGGCGCGCAAAUUACCCAAUCCCGACUCGGGGAGGUAGUGACAAUAAAUACUGAUACAGGGCCCUUUCGGGCCUUGUAAUUGGAAUGAGUACAAUUUAAAUCCCUUAACGAGGAACAAUUGGAGGGCAAGUCUGGUGCCAGCAGCCGCGGUAAUUCCAGCUCCAAUAGCGUAUAUUAAAGUUGUUGUGGUUAAAAAGCUCGUAGUUGAACCUUGGGCCUGGCUGGCCGGUCCGCCUCACCGCGUGCACUGGUCCGGCCGGGCCUUUCCCUCUGUGGAACCCCGUACCCUUCACUGGGCGUGGCGGGGAAACAGGACAUUUACUUU
rnacentral:rRNA from 1 species